rnacentral:rRNA from 1 species
AGAGUUUGAUCCUGGCUCAGAUUGAACGCUGGCGGCAGGCCUAACACAUGCAAGUCGAACGGUAACAGGAAGAAGCUUGCUUCUUUGCUGACGAGUGGGGGACGGGUGAGUAAUGUCUGGGAAACUGCCUGAUGGAGGGGGAUAACUACUGGAAACGGUAGCUAAUACCGCAUAACGUCACAAGACCAGAGAGGGGGACCUUCGGGCCUCUUGCCAUCGGAUGGGCCCAAAUGGGAUUAGCUAGUAGGUGGGGUAACGGCUCACCUAGGCCACGAUCCCUACCUGGUCUGAGAGGAUGACCACCCACACUGGAACUGAGACACGGUCCAUACUCCUACGGGAGGCGGCAGUGGGGAAUAUUGGACAAUGGGCGCAAGCCUGAUGCGCCCAUGCCGCGUGUAUGAACAACGCCUUCGGGUUGUAAAGUACUUUCAGCGGGGAGGAAGGGAGUAAAGUUAAUACCUUUGCUCAUUGACGUUACCCGCAGAACAAGCACCGGCUAACUCCGUGCCAGCAGCCGCGGUAAUACGUGAGGGUGCAAGCGUUAAUCGCAAUUACUGGGCGUAAAGCGCACGCAUGCGGUUUGUUAAAUCAGAUGUGAAAUCCCCGGCUCACCUGGGAACUGCAUCUGAUACUGGCAAGCUUGAGUCUCGUAGAGGGGGGUAGAAUUCCAGUGUAGCGGUGAAAUGCGUANAGAUCUAGAGAAUACCGGUGGCGACGCCGUGCACUGGACUAGNACUGACGCUCANAAGCGAAGCGUGCGAGCAAAUAGAUUACAUGCCUUGCUAGUCCACGCCGUAACNUGUCGACUUGGAAGUCGUGCCCUUGAAGCUUGCNNCUGAGCUAUNNNUNAGCUCGACGGCNAG